rnacentral:rRNA from 1 species
CCUACGGGAGGCUGUAGUGGGGAAUAUUGGACAAUGGGCGAAAGCCUGAUCCAGCCAUGCCGCGUGUGUGAAGAAGGCCUUCGGGUUGUAAAGCACUUUCAGUGGGGAAGAAAGCCCUGGGGCUAAUACCCUCGAGGAAGGACAUCACCCACAGAAGAAGCACCGGCUAACUCCGUGCCAGCAGCCGCGGUAAUACGGAGGGUGCGAGCGUUAAUCGGAAUUACUGGGCGUAAAGCGCGCGUAGGCGGUCUGAUAAGCCGGUUGUGAAAGCCCCGGGCUCAACCUGGGAACGGCAUCCGGAACUGUCAGGCUAGAGUGCAGGAGAGGAAGGUAGAAUUCCCGGUGUAGCAGUGAAAUGCGUAGAGAUCGGGAGGAAUACCAGUGGCGAAGGCGGCCUUCUGGACUGACACUGACGCUGAGGUGCGAAAGCGUGGGUAGCAAACAGGAUUAGAUACCCUAGUAGUC